rnacentral:lncRNA from 1 species
GAUUAUAGGCGUGAGCCACCACGCCCGGCCUGUUUCCUUUGGUUUAAAGUGGAUUCGAAUCAGUGUUAAAUCAGAAAAUCAGGGUUUUCUAGGAAAUUGGGAAUUAGUUGCCAGAAAGGAAACUGAACUAUGCAGAAGGAGUUAAGAGCUGGGAUGAGGCUGGAUGGGGUGACUGACAGUGUCCAGAUCAUUGAAACAGAUUGGGUCGUCGGAAACUGGUCCAGAUGAGGCUGGAUGGGGUGACUGACAGUCUGGAUCAUUGAAACUGAUUAGGUCUUCAGAAAUGGGUCCAGAUGAGGAUGAGGCUGAGGCUGGAUGGGGUGACUGACAGUCUGGAUCAUUGAAACUGAUUGGGUGGUUGGUCAGAAACGGGUCCAGAUGAGGAUGAGGAUGAGGCUGGAUGGGGUGACUGACAGUCUGGAUCAUUGAAACUGGUCCACUAUGACGCAGCAGGGGCAGUUUGGCAGAGCAUCCUCUUCCCUUGUCCUUGUGAAAGAACACAGGAAACAUUUGGGUUUUACAGCUUUUCACACCCUACUAUCAGGCAUCAGAAUCAAAAUUAGUUACUAAAUUGGGUGAAUUUUUGGAAACCUGCAUUUCUAUUCAUCUGCUAUUCCAGAAAAAAAUGGGAAUGUAUUACAGGAGAGUUACCUCACAGUGUCUUAUGUUGUGGAACCUGAAGCAUAACCACGUGUUUUCUUAUAUGAUCAUUUGUGUUGAUACUGCUUUUAUUUGAGUUUAUGAACAGAAAUAGAAAGUAUGGUGCUUGGGUUUUGCCCUUUCUUACUCCUGAAAGUUAAAUCAGAAGACACUGAUUUCAUUUUGUGAAAUUUAGCUCAGAGACGAUUGAUCUUUUGUUUCAUUAAUAUGAACAACUAUUAGUAAAAAAAUAGCUUUAACAGCAUUUCUGCUGAUAUCUAGUAAUCUAUUCUUUUAAUGUGAAAAUACGAUAAAAUGUCCUGGAGCUAAUUCUAGCUUAAAUUUGCCAGUAUUUCUUCUGUAUGUCAUUAAGUUUUUUUCCUCUAAGGUUGGUAAUAGAAUUUUGUUAAUCUUUGCAUACCUGAUGGCAUCUAUGUCAAUGCUGAUUGGGUAAUUAUAAAUUCUGUGCUCAUUUAAAACUUAAUUUGCCUCUUAAGGUGAUUGUCCUCUGAGUAAUGAUUGUAGUUAAAUGAAGUAUAGCUUGCAACUAUACUAUCACAUGGGUUGUUAAGUAAAAAUAAAUAAACCAAAUUUGUCUGAGACAGGCUAAGAUCAAUCUUCUCAUCAAACCAGUUUUUCUCUAAGAGCAAUUUCACUUUAAGUUUUAGGGUGGACAUUCUUGAAUGCCUCAAAUUAAACGUUAUCUAUUUAAUCUUCCUGGAAUAGUCUGUGACCAAAAAGGAGGGUGUGAUAUAUUUAGGUGUAAAUAUAUCACAUAUAUGGUGUGAUAUAUUUGGGAUUUAUAUAUUCAGCUCAUUCUCUGUGAAGAAGUCUUCCUGACUAAAAUUGGUUUCAAGAUAAACUAAUUUCUGUUAGUAUUUCUACUCUGCCUACCAUGUAUGCCUUUUUGUUAGAAACUAAUAAAUGUAUCAGUCACUAGCAGGUACUGGUCCUUUUUCCUCUCAUUUUUGUGGAAAGGAUAUGCAAACGUUGAAUUUCUCAGGGAGUACUAAGGCUGUGCAGAGGCUGAGAAUCUGAAAAAUAAAAUACUAAAAAUAAAAAUGGAUUAUUAUGUGUAUUUUACCACAACUUAAAAAUAUGUAAAAAUCAGCUACAUGAAAAUUAAAAGUUCUGCAUAACAAGA